rnacentral:rRNA from 1 species
UACGGAGGGUGCGAGCGUUGUCCGGAAUCAUUGGGCGUAAAGGGCGCGUAGGUGGUUUGAUAAGGGUGUGGUGAAAGUCCGGGGCUCAACCCCGGAUCUGCCGUGCCGACUGUCAAACUCGAGGGCUGUAGAGGCAGACGGAAUUCCGGGUGUAGCGGUGGAAUGCGUAGAGAUCCGGAGGAAGACCGGUGGCGAAGGCGGUCUGCUGGGCAGUUUCUGACACUGAUGCGCGACAGCGUGGGGAGCAAACAGG